CACGUAGGGCGCGAGCGUUGUCCGGAAUUAUUGGGCGUAAAGCGCUCGCAGGUGGUUCGUCGCGUCGUGCGUGAAAGACCCCGGCUCAACUGGGGGAGGUCGUGCGAUACGGGCGAACUGGAGGCCAGUAGGGGGAUGCGGAAUUCCGGGUGUAGUGGUGGAAUGCGUAGAGAUCCGGAGGAACACCAGCGGCGAAGGCGGCAUCCUGGACUGGUCCUGACACUCAUGAGCGAAAGCGUGGGGAGCGAUCCGG
rnacentral:rRNA from 1 species